rnacentral:lncRNA from 10 species
ACUGCAACCUCUGCCUCCCAGGUUCAAGGGAUUCUCCUGCCUCAACCUCCCAGGUAGCUGAGACUACAGGCGCCCGCCACCAUGCCUGGCUAAUUUUUUGUAUUUUUAGUAGAGAUGUCACCAUGUUAGCCAGCAUGGUCUCCAUCUCCUGACCUCCUGAUCCGUCUGCCUUGGCCUCCCAAAGUGCUGGGAUUACAGGCGUGAGCCACCAUGCCCAGCCCUAUAGAUGAUCAACUUAUACCUUAGUUAUAAGGUGGUGGUGGCAGGGCUGAUAACAGGAUGACCAACCCGAAACAUGAACGUACCCAUUUUUACAGUUGUGCCUGGGGUUCCUACUCAUACUUUAUCAGUUCAAACAACCACUAAUAAGUGACACUGCUCUGCAGUCUUAACAUUCAUGGCCACCAUAUGCCUCAAUGUUUCUGGGUCAACUUUAGUUUCAAACAUUAUCUCUACUGUCACAGGUCCACAUGCCAAACUAUGAGUCCAGUUUGGGGUUCAGAACAUAUAGUCUCUAUAGUUCUGCCUUUUCUCGGUGCUCAGAGUCUAAUAUCAUUGGAGAAGAGGACGAUUUUUGCCUGAUUAAACUGAGGGAGGGGGAUAAGAAAGGGAACCAAAGACAAUGCUAAAUAAUGUAUUUUGGUUCAAUUUUCCAAAAAGUGAAGCUCUGCUUAUCACAAUGAUUGGUCCACUCUGGUCCACCCAGAUACCUGGAUUCCUCAUUUAUGUAGCAGCAGUCUACUUCGUGGGCGCUGCCUAUUUUGAAGAUGUUAUUUUGCACUCCCUUCUGGAGCAUGUGAUAAUACCUCUACCUUUGAGAAAUACAAAAGAUGUAGGUUCUCUGCAGUCGAGAAUUAAAUGAACGUAAAUAAAAUGAAUAGACAAGGCAGAAGCCUCCAUGUCAGCUCCCUCUGCCUUCAGAUCCUUCUAAGGGAUGUGGGUUCUCGGGAGGGGAAAUACACAACACGAUACAACAGACAUUUGACGACCCUUUAGAGGCUGGUUGUGAAUCUGACUACCGGAGGGCUUAAAAUAUGGCAGUAAGAAGAAAGGAGCUCAUGGGACCCUGAAGGGAAACGAGAGCGGGGAAUUUGUCUCUUUCAUCCACAGUCGUUUCAAAGCAUGACACUUGCGGUAACAAAAUUGCAUUGCGAAAGUACUAGUGUGUUAUUAUCUCCUCUUCAAGACAGGGACACGUAGACAGGGAAUGGCCUCUUCCAAUACCAACUUCCAAGUAGCACUGCUGAUCCUCCACUGAACGAUGGGGGAAAAGCUAGCCUGCUUCUGCGACCUACCACUAAUGAAUAAUGGAUAUCGAGGAGCCGUGGAAUGGAGGAUCACGGCGGCGUACGGAGCACCGGGGAGGAAUCGUGGGGUGCGUAGGCGCCGGAGCGCCCGGGUUCGGCCCGGACCGAAGGCUUGCGCGGUGAAGGUGUGGUGUCUGUGCUCCGGGGAAAGGGCUGUCUCCCCGGGGGACUGUUUCGCAGCGAGGCUUGUUUUGCUCGCAGCUGGGCGCUCCCUGGGGAGCGACUGAGCGCAAGGGCGGGCCGGGAGGCGCGAGGCGAGCACGAUGCUCCAGGGCCCCAAGGACUCGUGUGCGUGUGCGUGUGCAAAGUGGGGCGGUGCAGGGCGUGUGCACGGCACGGGCGA